GUCAGUGACAUCAGACGAAGCGUUGGUGACGCAGAUAUGUGAUGGUGCAACACAUGUAAUAUAACCGGCUACCUGUGAGGAUCUGGACUUCGUUUUCUCAGUCAUACGGAGAGUGGAUCUGUCUGAAGCGGAGACUUCUGUCUGUCAGAUCUGGUGUAAGCAGCACUUUUGGAGAAAACCGCUUUAGGAAUUAUUCGUUUCCAGUAAGGCUAACAGUUAUUAGCGCUGAUAGCAUAGUAAGUGAACUUUCACGGUUCAACCUUAACCUACUCGAGGAGGACAGCAUAAUAGCUAAAGACUAAUGUGAACUUUGAACUCCACAGGGGCAAAAUUUCGGCAAAAAGAGUACGUUAGAUAACCGUGUAGUCCUGUCUGUUUAGCUAGCCGGACUUCCGUGUGUCGUUCGAGGUCAUUCUGUAGCGCUCAUUCAAGAGACACAGCUUCUAUCCCAGACUCUAGUCAUGAAGAGCCUGCCGUACUUCUGUCGGGGAGAGGUCGUUCGAGGAUUUGGAAGGGGAAGCAAAGAACUCGGUAUUCCCACAGCAAACUUCCCAGACUCCGUGGUGGACAAUCUUCCAGCAGAUAUCAGCACAGGGAUCUACUACGGCUGGGCUUGUGUGGGUAAUGGUGAUGUCUACAAAAUGGUGAUGAGCAUCGGCUGGAACCCUUACUACAAAAAUACCAAGAAAUCCAUGGAGACUCAUGUGAUACACAAAUUCAAAGAAGACUUUUAUGGAGAAGUUCUCAGUGUGGUCCUUGUGGGCUACAUCCGCCCAGAAAGAAGCUUUAACUCACUCGAAGCCCUCAUUGCGGCAAUCAACAGUGAUAUUGAGGAGGCCAAGAUGAAGCUGGAGCUGCCAGAGCAUCACAAGCUGAAAGAUGACAACUUCUUCACCAGCACGGCCAACUCCUCUUCAGUCCUGCCCGCCGCGCCCAGCCCGUCCACAUCACAGACUAUUAUGAACGGUCACUGACAGCUGGCUAGGACAGCAGGGCUGUGGAUACACUCACACAGACCAGAAUUAGACAAAGGUUCAUGUAAAUGCACAGCCUCGCUGUCACAAUGCAUGCACAUGGACCUAAUCAUAAGCAAUCCUUUUUUCUUUUCUUUUUUUUUAAUUAUGUUUUUCCUUUAUGUUGUUGGUGUCUCUUUGUAAAGAGCUGUUAAGCUUCCUGCCUGGUUUUGUCAGACUGAUUAUGUCUGCCUCUCAGCGGUCCUGCUGUAUAUUUGGAAUCGUUUACUAGAGAAGGCACUAAAAACAGACCUUGGGAUUAAGGUAAUUGCAACCACUGCAGAGGCAGUUGUAAAAUAUUGUGUGUAAAAGGUACAAAUAGACUAUUAAGUGUCUGAUCACUAUUUAUUUUGGUUGGAAAUACAUGACUUAUCUUUUUUUCUGAUUCAGCAUCGGGUAAAGAGAAGGUCUGGGCAUUAUUAUCUGCAACAAAAACACACAUUGUGCAAUCUGAGGCUUUUUGAAAGUCUUCAGUUUUCUUGUUUUCUCCUUACAUGUCCCUCUUCAGAAAAGGAGAAAGUAAAAGGACACUGCCCUAAAACUUAUACACUUGGCCAGAAAUUCAGUUUUGUUUUGACGCAGGAAGAAAAUGGUUAAGAUGGUUAUUUAUUGAAAGCUAUGUUUUAAGCAAAGGCUUUUAUUCAUCUUUAUUUUUAUUUUAUCUUGAUUUAGGUAUCACUUAACUGUCUUGUCAGUGACCGGUCCUUUUAAUCAGCAGUGAGUUAUAGAUUAACACUAAGGCUGAAAAGGGCUUUAAGCACGUUGGGAAUUUGUUAUUCCCUUUAGCCUUUUCAUUUCAGUGUCGAUGGCUUUGUUACAGAUAGAAAAACACUGGCAGGUGGAGAUGCUAAAAGAUCUUUUUAGUACAAGUGGAAGUGUAUGACACCAAUUUAUGAGAAUUUGAACAGAUCAAACUAAAACAAGCACACUAUUCUUAGUAUCUGCAUCGGUCAGCGUUUAAUAUAUUUACAUUCAGAAACCGUUGUCAAAGCCCGUGUGUGUGUGUGUGUGUGUGUGUGUGUGUGUGUGUGUGUGUGUGUGUGUGUGUGUGUGUGUGUGUGUGUGUCUUUUACAAUGAAGUGUUUACUUUCAUUCGAAGCUCUGAUGAUUAGUUGAGGAAAUGUGGAAGCCUGCUGAUGGGAUUUCAGCUCUUAUAAACUCUUGUGUUACAUGAGACAUUAAAAUGUUAUUUAGAGAGUUAAAACAAAAGACAUUUGUCGUACACUCAGCUGUUUUUGCUGGUGAGAUGCCUUUUAGUUGUUCCAUUUCUAAUGCGUGCAAAGGACUGAACUAAUUAAUUGUGCUGCUUUAUCAAGCCUAUCAAAGAUAUAGUGAUAUCGAUAGAUACAUUUUUUUUUUCCCCAGUCUAAUUACUGCAGGGCGGUCUGGUGUUUUAGUCUCACAUGUUGCAGUUAUUUAGUCUAGUUUACACAGGGACCACAGAUACUUGAUGUAGAGUUCAUUAAAGCGUAUCCACCUUUAUUUUCAUUCAUGUUUCAUUAAAUCAAAUCAUUUUAAUUCAA